rnacentral:rRNA from 1 species
UACGGGAGGCAGCAGUGGGGAAUAUUGCACAAUGGGCGAAAGCCUGAUGCAGCGACGCCGCGUGAGGGAUGACGGCCUUCGGGUUGUAAACCUCUUUCAGCAGGGAAGAAGCGAAAGUGACGGUACCUGCAGAAGAAGCGCCGGCUAACUACGUGCCAGCAGCCGCGGUAAUACGUAGGGCGCAAGCGUUGUCCGGAAUUAUUGGGCGUAAAGAGCUCGUAGGCGGCUUGUCACGUCGGAUGUGAAAGCCCGGGGCUUAACCCCGGGUCUGCAUUCGAUACGGGCUAGCUAGAGUGUGGUAGGGGAGAUCGGAAUUCCUGGUGUAGCGGUGAAAUGCGCAGAUAUCAGGAGGAACACCGGUGGCGAAGGCGGAUCUCUGGGCCAUUACUGACGCUGAGGAGCGAAAGCGUGGGGAGCGAACAGGAUUAGAUACCCUGGUAGUCCACGCCGUAAACGUUGGGAACUAGGUGUUGGCGACAUUCCACGUCGUCGGUGCCGCAGCUAACGCAUUAAGUUCCCCGCCUGGGGAGUACGGCCGCAAGGCUAAAACUCAAAGGAAUUGACGGGGGCCCG